rnacentral:rRNA from 1 species
CCUACGGGAGGCAGCAGUGGGGAAUAUUGCACAAUGGGGGAAACCCUGAUGCAGCGACGCCGCGUGAGUGAAGAAGUAUUUAGGUACGUAAAGCUCUAUCAGCAGGGAAGAAAAAAAGUCCUUUGGACUUUGGACGGUACCUGACCAAGAAGCCCCGGCUAACUACGUGCCAGCAGCCGCGGUAAUACGUAGGGGGCAAGCGUUAUCCGGCUUUAAUGGGUGUAAAGGGGGCGUAGACGGCAGCGCAAGUCGUGAGUGAAAUGCCGGGGCCCAACCCCGGAACUGCUGUGGGAACUGUGCAGCUGGAGUGCAGGAGGAGUAAGCGGGAAUCCGAGG